rfam:Myotis lucifugus cont2.37314, whole genome shotgun sequence.
GGUGGUUCUCAGAUGAUGCACCCCAGAAUCAGGCUCCCUCCUCUCUGGUUCUGGGUGCGUUACCUGAGAACCGCA